AAACUUUCAACAACGGAUCUCUUGGUUCUGGCAUCGAUGAAGAACGCAGCGAAAUGCGAUAAGUAAUGUGAAUUGCAGAAUUCAGUGAAUCAUCGAAUCUUUGAACGCACAUUGCGCCCCGUGGUAUUCCGCGGGGCAUGCCUGUUCGAGCGUCAUUUCACCACUCAAG
rnacentral:rRNA from 1 species